GAGCCCAGCUGGGGUGGUAAAUAGAGUACAGUACAGAUUCUGUGUGAAGAAUAGAGAGACAGACGUUCCAUUUCAAAGAAAAAAGAGCAACACGAAGGCCCUCUUUAAGGAGAGAGUAAACAUUCACUUUAGGUAAAAAAUAGUCUUUUACACGCCUGUGCACGGCACACCUCUUUUGCUGUUCACCUUGAGCCCAAGAGUUUGGAAAGGCUGCUCCCAUUUCAGAGAGGAAGAAACGCAGGCACACGUGAAUGACAGACUCCUCUGUGGUGGCCUAGACUCCAGCCAACACUUCCUAGGACAGCCUGCCAUUGUGCAAAGUGGCCUUUGCUGCACAACCCUGGCUUGGGAGGAGGUGCUCUUCACGUGGCCUCCAAUGACAUUGUGGGAUGGAGGCAUCUUACCAUUGGAAGUCACCAUGUAACAAAUGCAGACAUCUCUGAGAUCACCAUGCAGUGAGGAAGUCUAAGCUGGUGGCAUGAAGAGGCCACAUGGAAAGGGCUAAAAAAGGGGCCAGCCUCAGUCAUCCCAGCUGAGCACCUGGCUGGGAAUAAAAGAGGACUCCGUGGAUGUCCAGCCCAGUAAGAUGACCUCAGCCCCAGCCACCAACUGACCAUGCACACAAGACAUCGUGAGGCUGCCUGCUGGAGCCUGGCCAGUGGGACUGUAGAGUAACUCAUUGUCGCCAGCAAACUGCCAGUGUGAAGGAUGCCCAGGUAACCUGCCCAUGCCAGAACGGCCAGGAGAUGGUGGAACCAGAAUCUAAGCCCACGCCCAUCUGACCUCAAAGUCUGUGCUCCUGAUGUUUGCACCGAGUCGCCUCCUAAGACUUGCUGAAACUGGAUCACAUCCAUUUACCCAUCUCUGAGAGAAAUGCAAGCUUUAAAAAAGGAAAUAUUUACUAUGGAUAUUUUACAAUAGUUCCAAAACAUGAAAGUUUUAAAUAAGAUAUUCUUAACCAUCCUCACCACAUCUUCAGGUUCCCUUACAGCCACUGUGUUUUGACGAUUGCCCAUUAGAAAAAAAGACUAUGCUUUCUGUAGGUUUUAAAGGAAUGGUGGUGAAAUAGGGAGCAUUCCCUGAGCAGAUCCUGCCUGCGGGCACACCUCUGAGCAUUGGACCAGGCGAGAAGAGCCCAUGUGUUGGCUGCUUUGGGAUCCCAGCACUGCCAAUGGCAGGUGGGCUGUGACCCAGGGAGAGAACUUAGCCUUUUGCAUUCUCUUGCCCCAUUUGAAAAUGGAGACGAUAGUGGCGCCCCGCUCAGUGUUAUUUUGAGGAUUCGAAUGUAUCUCAGACGUAGUACCUGGAAAAAUAUAAGUGCUCAGUAAAUACGGUUGCCAGAUAAAAUGCAGGAAACCUAUUUAAAUUUAAGUUUUGGCUGGACAAUGAAUAGAAUAAUUUUUCUUAGUAUGAGUAUCUCCUUAUAUUUCAUCUGCUAAAUUUAGCAACCUCCUCAGUAAACGAUCACUACAAUUGCAGAAACGCCUUUUGACAGAUAUAGUAAAUCUGUAAAGAAAUAGGAACUUGCAUUUAUUUUUACUAAGCUCUGACUGGUUAAGAUAACUGGGCAAGAGAAGAUAUCUUCGACUAAACUUGCAGCACAUAGAGUAUAGAGAUUCAAAUUUGAAGUCCUAUAGGACUAGAAUGGCCAGAGGUGAACUGUAGCGAGCUUAUCUAAAGAGGACCAAUUUCAAAAGUUCCUCAGAGACUUAAAUGGGCCCACAGACCCCUCCUGUGUCUUUGCAUAAACCAGCUCGUUAUAUCAGUUAUAAGUUGAUUUCCAGAGAAAUGUACCCUGGAGGUCCCUCUCCCACUUGAAAUAGGACUGGCCAAUCCAGAUGUCCCCCAGGCGAUGUUGGCUCAAAUGGAGCUCCAUAAAUUGGAGAAUCUGUUCAAGAAAACAAGCAAAAGUAUUUGUGACUGAGUUAGCUAAUGCCAGCUGGUAUCUUGAACAAACCCAGAUCUCUAACAUGCUAGUUUAUUUCGUAGUGUAAAAUGUGUGUUACUGAUGGGCAGACAGCUCUCAUUCAAGCAGUGACAGAUGUAAGCUCUUCCCAUUUUUGUGGCCCCAUUGUAUUCGGCAUGUGGCUUCCAAGUUGCCUGGGAUCAUCUCCACCCAGACUAAGGAAGAGGAAAGAGCUUGGACAACUGCACUUGGCUGGUUUUUAUGGAUCAGGCAAGGAAUUGGCUCCAACACAUUAGCUCACAUUCCAUUGGUUAGAACUGGGUUUCUCAACUAUUAGUACAGGGUGAGUGUAGGGUUUUGGCACCAUGGGCAUUUGAGCUGGCCAAAGGCUAAUCAGAGUUAGAACAAAGCCACAAAGCCUGUGAAUGGUGUUUAUUGUUGUGAGGAGCUGUCUUGUGCAUUGUGGAAUGUUCAGCAGGAUGCUCUCUGGCCUCAGAGACUCACUAGAUUCCCAUAGAACUCUCCUCUCUCCUCCAGUUGUGACAACCACAGUUGCCUCCUCUCCAGACAUUGCUAGAUGUCCCCGGGAGGCAAAAUUGUCCUGGUUGAGAACCACUGUGUUAGAACUCGGUCACAUGGCCACACCUAACUGCAAGGGAGGGGGCUGGAAGAUCUAGACGAAUAGUAUGCCAGGAAGAAAAUAAAACUGAUUUAGAGGCUGCUGGCCAGUUGCUUUCAGUGACCUUCAGCAUACUUAUUCCUCUGCAGCUGUCAGGACACUCGAGCCUGUUUCUGAGAUGUUUCCUGUGUGAGGGGACAUAGUGACUACUGGAGGGGUGACAUGUUGAACUUGGGUAGGGUGAAGAGGAUUGGAAACCACCAUCAUGUUUGGAAGCAUUGAAUGUUUAUGACUAUUUGAAUAGUUGUGACAAGGGUACAGUGAAGGAGGAAGUAACCAUUUUUGAAUACCCUUUUACAAUUUGCAAAGCACUUUUAAAGGUAAGAGUGAGUUCCUAGACCAUAUUAGGGUGAGAAUGGACAUUGUUGGCUGCCAUAUCAUUGGGCAGGGGCUUUGAGAUUUUUGUCUUCAGAAGGCAGAUUAGAUUUGGAGUAGAAGGAGAAAUGUAAAGACCUGGUAUCUGAGUGUGUUUGCAGAGGGGAAUUGUCGUUUGGAAGCACAAGAAAGGGAAUGGCCCGUUGGCACAUAUGGUACAUUGUGUUUUCAUAUAAUUAUACCUGAAUGAAAGCAAGAGGAAACGUGUAGGAAGCUGUUUACAUAGUCCUUUUAAUAAUGUUUACAUGAGUUAAUGAACAUGCAAACGUAUCUGAUGAAAACAUGUCAGUAGUGAAACAGCCUUGUGAAGAAUCAGAUCUUACCUCAGGCUGGAAAAAAGGACUGGUUUUCCAAGCUCACAAAUUGCAGCCAGUGUGAAUAGUAGCACAAAUGACUGUGAGCUUUAAGCCAUCCAUCCAUCCAUCCAUCCCUUCAUCCAUCACUCCAUCCAGCCAUCCGUCCCUUCAUCAAUCCAUCCAUCCCUUCAUCCAUCCAUCCAUCCAUCCUUCCUUCCAUUCAUCCCUUCAUCCAUCCGUCCAUCCAUCCAUCCAUCCACUCAUUCAUCCCUUCAUCCAUCCAUCCAUCCAUCCUUCCUUCCUUCCAUUCAUCCCUUCAUCCAUCCGUCCAUCCAUCCAUCCAUCCAUCCACCCAUCCAUCCAUCCAUUCCUUCAUCAACUCAUCCCUUCAUCCAUCAUCUACCAUUCAUUCACCCCUUCAUCCAUCCAUUCAUUUAUCCAUCCAUCCAUUUACUUCCAUCCAUCCCUUUAUCCAUCCAUUCACCCAUUCAUCCCUUUAUCCAUCUCUCCAUUCCUCCAUCCAUCCAUCCAUUUACUCUUCAUCCCUUCAUCCAUUUUUCCAUCCAUUCAUCCAUUCAUCUUUUCAUCCAUCCAUCCAUUGAUCCAUCCAUCCAUCCAUUGCUCCAUCCAACCAUCCAUCCAUCCAUUCGUCCCUUCAUCCAUCCAUCCAUUCAUCCCAUCAUCCAUCGAUCACUUCAUCCAUCCAUCCUUCCAUCCUUCCAUCCUUCCAUCCAUUCUUCCAUUCAUUCAUCCAUGUGUUCAGCAAGUAUUUACUGAAUGCCUAUUAUGUGCCAAGCACUCUCCUCAGAACUUAGGAAAUACCAGGAAACAAAAUCAACAACAAUCCCUCACCACCUGGAUAUUACGUUUUGAUGGGAAGAGACAAAGAAAUAAAAUUGGUGAGUGAAUCACAUAGGUUAUUAGAAGGUGAUAAAGGUGUAGGUGAUAAAGGAGAAGUGCCAGGAGCAAGGAUUGGGUACAGUUGUGAAUAAGGUGGCCCCACUAGGUUGCACUGAGAAGAUGACAUUUGCACAGAGACUUGAAGAAAGCAAGGAGAGAACAUGACUGUACCUGGGGAACAGCAUUUGUGGAAGAGGGAACAGCCAGUGUAAAAGUUCCAAGGCAUGAGUGCCUGGUACAUACACGGAACAUCGAGGCCAGGGUGGCAGAAACGUGGUGAGUCCAGGAAGGGAAUAGGAAAUAAGUGUAGGAAGGUGUACAGUGGGGUGGUGUGGGGGUGGAAUUGUGGCAGCCAGAUGGUGUUGGCAUAAGGCCUCUUGGCCCUUGUUAGGACUUGGUUUACCAUGGCGCAACACAUCCAUGAGAUUGGCAAAAAUUAAAAAGUCUGACAACAGAAAAUCUGGUAAUCUGGUGAGGAUGUGGAGCAGUGGGAAUUCUCCAAUACUGCCAGGGGGCAUGGGCAUCAAUCCCACCACACUGGAAUGCAAAGGGGCAUUCUGAGUAGAACUGAAGAUGUGCCCAUCCUUGACCCCACAGUUCCAGCCAUGGGCAUGCGAAUGAAUGUGCACACGUGUUGACUGCGGCAUUUGUUUGUAAUUAUGAAAACAUCUAAGUUUCCAUCUAUGGGAGAGGGGAUAAUGUGGGAGUGCCCUACAGUGGAGUUCUAGAGAGCAGUAAAAAUAAAUGGACUAGAGCUGCACACGUCAAAAUGGAUGAAGAUAAAAGACAUAAGGAUGGGAGAAGACCACCUGGCCACAGAAGUAUAUGUCCAAUAUGAUGCUGGUGUAUCCAGAGUGUUCAAGCAAACAACACAACACUACUCAUUGUUUCCAACGUGAGUAUGAAAGUAUGGAGCAGUGCGGAGGGCCAGGAGUGCUGAAUCCAGAUGGUUACUUCUCCAGGCGGGGGCCGAGGACCAGGGCUGGAGGUUUACUCCAGGAGCUUCAGUGGUGCAUGCUGAAUGUGCUGUUUCUUGGGCUGGGGGACAGAGAUGUGCAUGCUGUUAUACACUCUAUAUUGAAAUGAUUAUAUAACAAUAUACUAAUUUAUCAUGUAAUAAAUUUGACCAG